CAAGGGUGGUGGAGCUCUUAGCGCUGUUGCAGCUACGAAAAGUCCUGUGAUAUUCAUCGGAACAGGAGAGCAUAUGGAUGAGUUUGAAGUGUUUGAUGUCAAGCCAUUUGUCAGCCGUCUCUUAGGAAUGGGUGAUUGGUCUGGAUUCGUGGAU